ensembl:lncRNA
CCAGAAACGCUUUCAUUUAUGGAACUUGGUUCUGGGCAGGUACUGCAAGGAAGUUGUUUGGCGUGAAACCCCCUUUGUUUUGGACUUGUUUUGUUGUAAAUUACCAGACUAUAAAAGUGGAGAGAAAUAACCAGAUCCUGUGGUGUUUGUCCUCUCCAUUCCCACCCCCACAGCUGUCUGCUCCUCUCCCAAACCCACCAAAAAAAAAAUUCAUUUAGAUUGGACAGAGCAAUUAUGACGGCACAAAUUAAAAGUGUGAGCUGAAAGCAGAACCCUCCCGUUGCCCUGAUGCCGCAAUGAGACUGUAAAGGUCGCGGGGAUAAAUAACCACCAUGCUGUUCAUGCCCAUGUAUGCAAAGAGUAAAUUACCUUCAGCCACUCUUAACAGACAUGAACACAACGUUCACCCUGAGCUCUGAGUGAAUGUGUGUGUGUGUGUGUGUGUGUGCCCUCUCCACCAGCUGUGACAUUUCAUAAAAGAGGCUCGUGUGAAUAUUUUUACAGCUGUGUGGAUCCCUGCCGCUGCUGCUGGUAGGUCGGCCGACGUCACUCAGGGUGCAGGUGAGGCUGCACAGAGCAGCGGCCAGAGAAACAGCUGCUGUGUGUCUCCUCACGCUGAGAGGCGGGCAGGGGGCGGAGCAGAAAGAUGAGCGGAGAAGAAACCACCUGAGAUCAGAUGGUGAAGUCUCCUCUAAUCUCGACCCUGUGGGGCACAGAACCAGACGUCUCAUGAGCAGGCAAUAAAUUUUUUUCCAUUGUGGGUUUUUUUCUCCACAAGAGGGUUCUCCUGGUGAUCAAUGAAAUAUUCUGGGUGGUUCUAUAGAUGGGAGAUGGUCCAAACACAUUUCAGAACAUAUUAAAACCAGAACACCCUGCCUACAUCCUUCAUGCUGAUAUGUCCAGCU